UUUGGUUGCAUUCGCUUUUAGCUUGAUAACGGUGUAAGAAUCUACAUCGAAACGUCGCUCUAUGCAAUAGAUAAGUUGCCAUCCAUACAGUUGUACGUUUCAUUUUUUAGCCACCAACUUCUGGAAUGCCGAUCAAACAAUGAAUUAUUUCUGUCUGA